CAGAACGUCGUGAGACAGUUCGGUCUCUAUCUAUUGUGGGCGUUGGAAAUUUGAGAGGAUCUGACUCUAGUACGAGAGGACCGGGUUGGACGAACCUCUAGUGUAUCUGUUGUCGCGCCAGCGGCACCGCAGAGUAGCUACGUUCGGAAGGGAUAAGCGCUGAAAGCAUCUAAGCGCGAAGCCUACCUCAAGAUGAAAUUUCCUUUAAGGGUCGUUAUAGACGAUGACGUUGAUAGGUUGUAAGUGUAAAGGCAGUAAUGCCAAAGCUGAGCAAUACCGAG
rnacentral:rRNA from 1 species